ACUCUGAAAACUGCCGGCACCCCCAACUCCCAAGCCAUAGAGGGGGAUCACUGUGCCCUGAUAGCCUGGACUGAUCAUAUUUCUCCUAGGGAUUUGGAACAGGGACUGAGAGUUAGGUGGUCCUUGUGCCUGGAACUGAGAACAUCUAAAUGGAAACUGAGGUUACUACAUGCAUGGAGGGUCAGAUCUGCAAAGGGAAAAGAAGAAAGCAGAUGUGCACAGAAAGACAGUGAUAAGAAGCUCAGAGCAUAGAGACAGAGUGAGAAUGACUCAGAAAAUUCUUGACACUUCCUGAUUCCAGCCACUGUGAAGUCUCUGUUUUUGGAUGCAGGAGAGUGGCCUUACGAUUGCAGUUUGUUUAAAGAAAAAGAACUUUCUGGAGAUGCAGCAGCAGCAAAUCUAUCAGCUCCUUGCAGUGUCAUCAAUCACAGAAGCACAGAAAAAAAGAAAAAGCCAGCUGGACCCAGUACCCAUCCUUGUAAAUUAUUUUUCAGGAAAUCCUGCAGGCUUGGUUUUUUACCAGGAAACAAUUACAGUUUAAUAUAGAGGACCACAGAAUUCACAUGGAACUGAUUUCUAUUUCUUUUUGUUCUGGUUACACAAAGGAAAUGUAAUUUUUCAAAAACCAGCAGAGAAAUACACAAGCACUGGACUAAUAUAGUGGUGCUUGUCACUUACAACUGAGGGAUUGUGUCAUUUCUCAUUGCCAGUCCUGACAGCACCUCAAAUAAAGAGGCGUCUUAGCAAAUUAUGUUCUUGAUAUCGCUUACUGAAAUGCAACGACUCCAUUUUAAAUAUUAAAGUGACAAUGCAAAGACCCAAAGCUGGCUAUGAGGAAAGUUUACCCCAGCUUAACUGAUGGCCCAUUAUAUUGCUCAUGUCAUUAUCUUAAUCUCAUAUAUUUAUCAUGUGUCUUUAAAUGUGCCACGUUAAAAAGCCAGAGGUAAUUUUAUAUUUUAUCUGAAUCCAGGAAAAGAGAUUGUUAAAUUAUCAUCACAAGAUAUUAAAUAACUUGAACCUGUACAGUGACCUUUGAAUAUGCAAAUGGGGUACCUUUUUAACUCCCCACAAAAAAAAUGUGGUUUGCUAAUUGUUAAAAUGAUAAAUGGGAAAAAAAUGGAAGAAACCUGGAAUUUAGUUUGAAGCAAACCUAAUUGAAGGUUUAUGUGAUAAGGAUAAAGAAAAUGUUUUAUAUUUAUGUACAGGUUCAGAAAAUUGAUUGUCUAGAGCUGUUCAAAUCUGUGACUUUGCAGCUGUAAUCAAAACCAGCAGGACAGUUUCUGACUUAUGUCCCUGGCAGAGAACUAGAAGAAUACAUAAUACAUACCCACAAGAGUUUAAGAGAAUUUCAAUAGUUUCUUAGGUAACAAUUUUCAUUCUCUGCAAUUUUCAUUCUCUGCACUUGAGAUGUUUGAAAAAUGAAAGGCUGCAACCCCAAAUCAAACAAUAAUUAAACAUUCAUCUUUACUUUAAAAUGAGCUUUUUAACACCGAGGUACUUACCAAUCUAAUGCCCCCCAAAUGGGGGAUGAACACAACUUCCUGAGAUGAUGACA
rnacentral:lncRNA from 10 species